ACAGGACGUUUAGAUACUCUUUAAAUCCUUAUAAAUCUUAAAGAGUGUCCCUUUUAAAAAGGGCUUUAUGAAGAAAGCACUUUAAGCUUUUCCAAUGAUUUAAGAUGAUACCGGGGAAGGUUUUCCGGUUUAUCCCGGAGGGCUUGUAGCUCAGUUGGUUAGAGCGCGCGCUUGAUAAGCGUGAGGUCGGAGGUUCAAGUCCUCCCAGGCCCACCAAUUUAUGCUCGUUUUUUACUUAUCCUGANAGUUAUGAAGCUUAAGCGUAUUAAACGUAUCAAAGCCUCUUUAAUCUUUAUUCAUCGUUUAAAGAUUUUAUUUUAUCCUUCAAAAAUUGUUUGUUAAAUUUACAUUACGUUUAUCAAACA
rnacentral:misc_RNA from 1 species